GCUCUUUUUUUUCUCUCGAAUGGAUUAGAUUUAGAUUACUAAACAAGAAGCACAGUACAAACCCAUUUUACAACCAGGUCCCUGGAAGAAACGAAAAACAAGAAAACACCCAGGGAACAAUCUUCUCCAAGAAGCUCCGCCAUCGGACGCCACGCUCCGCCGCAAGACCGCAAACGAGGCAACCGCUGACGCAGGAGUUCGGUCCACCGGCCAAGCUGAACGAUGAGCCCCAAACAUUGGAAAUCGCCGCAAGAUCCAACGCCCCGGGACCAACCAGGGCGCAUGUAGCACAUUGAAAGAACUUACGCUCGUCUCUCGCGUGUGCUCCGGAAGUGUGGAAAAUGCACUCGGCACUACGGCCCGUCCGCUCAAAUCGCGGGUAUUCCUGCCGCGGUUGAAUCCCCAAAUCUCAAACCCAGCUGCAGCUUGCCGCCGCGGCGCUCGUGGGCGCCUCCGCUGUCGCCGCCGCGGUCUACUGCCUGCACUGCCACGCCGUCGAGCAGGUCAGCGGCGACCUCGCCCGCUCAGCCAGCAGCAGCCGCCGGCUGCUCGCUCCCACCGGCUCAGCAGGAGGGAAGACACCCUCCGCCGCGCCGCGCUUCCGCGCUGGACGAGUCAAGCCGAUGUGGCAUCUCCAGUUGGUGCAAUCUACGGCGGCGGCGCUACUUGAAUAGAUGCGGAAACGGGAGAUAGGGCGGCCCUGUGCUGGAGCGGCGCAGGAGACGCACUUUCCGGAUGAACGAGUACAUGACUGCAGUCCCACACGGUGCGCGUGGGAGGCGGAUGGCGGCAGCGGCGGGGAGAUGAAACGCUGCUCAGGCGUGGUUCUGUUGGCAUCAGUGCUGAUGGGAGAGACGACCUUUACAUCUCCCAGCUUGAAACAAUACUUUUCUCCGAUGUUGCAGAAGUUAGUGUUUGAUGUUGCGAUGUAAAGACAGAGUGUCCAAUGGGAAAUUUCCCAACGGAUGUCGGGCGCUAGCAGGACCGAAGCAGAUAUCCAUGAAUAUUCACAUUUUCAUUUAUCCACUGAUUUUUUAAAACAAAGAAAGGAGAAAAUCUCUAUCGACCUCGACUCAUUCCUCAUGGUAAUUUAUUUUCACAUAUGCUCAUUCUGAUUUAUUUCUCAAGGAUCAGCAAAGGAAAUUAAUGCAAGCUGUAUUAUCCUUUCUACUAAAAUUGUGGCCUCUAUUAUGAUUUCUACUAAAAUUGUGAGCUCUAUCAUGUACCUUAACUUAUAUUUACAUCUGUUUGCUUGAUUACCUAUUUAUGUCUUUUUCACAUAUGAGGACGAGUUUGAGGGCAUAUCCACCGGAAGCGCUCUCCUUCGACGAGUCCUCCGCGCUGGCUGAGGCCGCCCUAUCAGAUCCCUCCGCGGAGGCCACGGCCGAGGCUGCACCGGCCCCAGAGAGGCUGCCGGCGGAGCUCCUCCGCGUGUUCACUGUCGAGAUCACCAGGCAUUCAUUAAGACUGCCAGAACAAUAUAUAAGAAAAUCCAAGAUGCAACUUUGAUGUAUCAAACGAGGUCUUGAACAUGUUUCUUCAGUUGAUGAUUUGCUUGUGGGUGAGCUUAUUUGACCACUGAUGCUAAUGGAAGCGAUGUGGACAAGGCCCAUUUGCAUUGGAAGGCAUGCAUCCUUCAAUGUGCUUAGGACAUGUGCUUCAGGAUGGUGAAGGAUGGAUCACAUGCCCUUGCAAAAAGCGUCUAAACAGGAAACUGUCAAAGGUGGUGAUGAUGAGGAUGAUGACCUUGACAUAAAUAGUGCAUCUAUCUAUUCUUCCUUGAUUGUUUAGUUGAUCACUUGACCUAAUAUAGCUAACAUUGACACAUAUGUUCCUCAGGAUGAAGAAGACGAUGACAAGGCUGAUGAAGAUAAUGCCAACUCUGAUGCAGAGGAUGACAAAGAUUCUGACGACGAGAAGCACGUACAUUGCCCUUUCUUUUGCAUUUUCUCAUUUCCAAUUAUUGUUCUUCAGUUGCUCCCAUGUCCUGAUCCAUACUGUCACCGAACAUUCCAUGAUAAAAUCUAGAUAGCUAGGAUGAAACGUAGCUGCAUCCAAAAUGGCAAAAAUUCAAGUAAAAGAGAUGUAUUUUUGUCACCUGAUGUCCACAUAUAUAUGAAGGAAAGUAUGUUACUUUGA